rnacentral:lncRNA from 1 species
AGAAGACUUUUUGUUUCCCCCGCUCGCGGACGCUCGGUGAGCUGGUGCACUCAGUGGCAUGAGCUGGUCUGUCAUACUGGGGCAGCCUCGAACAGAAUGUGCUGUUGUAAUUUGAAGACUUGUUGUGCCAGAAGGGAACUCGGCUUGUAACACAGGCUGGUUGGAGCCCCUCUCUGCUGUAAGAGUCAGCGGUGCUGCUGGGCUCUGCCCGGGGCGUGUGGAGCAGAGGCUGAUCGGAGCCAAGGGGCCUGCUUGCGACUGUGCUCUGGGCAGUGCAGCUGAGAUACAAAUAAGGUGCCAGGCAAACUUAGCUCCUAAUGAGUUCCUCAUAAUAUUUAUCCGUCCUUUACUAGUCAUCCUGAAAAUACUUUGGCAUCUUUCUUGUCUCCUCCUCCUUGUAUAUCUGUCUCUGGAAGCUUUAUUUCAGCUUGCUCUCUCUCCUCUUUGUCUCAAAACCCCCUGUUCUCCACCCUGGCUGCUUUUUUCCUCUYUCUUCCUGCUGGGGACCUCUGAGAGUGUUACUGCUCUAGCUGCUUCUCCUCACCAGACAGCUAGUGGUUACUGCCCCCAAGCCCUGCCCAUGGAACAGAGGACGUGAGGUCUCCUCAGCUGCCUCCGUGCAGUCAACACAGUUGAUCCCUGAGGGGUAAAUUAAGCUGAUUGACUUUGCACUGAAGCAGAUUAGGAGUGUUCACUUGCCUGCUCAGCUCACCUCUCCUGUGAGGCAGCUCCAGGCAGGCAGCUGUGAUGCCUCACUCCGACUGAGCCCUUUGCAAAGCAAAAUGUGCAGGGGUGACCUCACCCUCCAGCCUUCUGCUUUCCCUCCCCAGUGUCGCUCUUCCAGACACAGGGAAUGGGGUGAGGCAUGCUGUGCAAUGGCAACAGUGAAGAGAGAAGCCUCAGAGACUGGCUGCUCCACCAGGAGCCAAUGCUUGGUAUGCCUCAUUGCUGCUGUGUUUUCGCAGACUUCUCCUGGGCUUUUCCUGGGCUCUCUUUUUCAACUCUGUGCUGAGAUCCUGUCUUCAGAGAGAAGGAACCCUGCAAGGUGGAGUACCUGGAAGCAAUUCUG